CUCAUACUGAACAGAGAGAGCUUCCCCUUCCCCAUUUUUAUUCUUUCUCCCAGCACCAAGACCUCCUGUUCAGCCUGGCUGUUUCCUCCAGCAGUGCUCUACCUCUGGAGUGAUUUUAUACAGCUCAGGUUGGGUCCUGAUUAUCUAAAGAGAGGAGCGAUGUACCUGCGGUUCUGUUGAAGAAUGAAAAUAGCAUUUUACUGGAGGUGGAAGUGGAUGGGGCUAGAAUCAGAUCCAGAGAAGAGAUCGAAAGGGAACCAGGCCACACAGUUUCUUUCUGGCGGGGGAGAGAGAACGAUCUGUUCCUAGGGAAGGAAGUCUAGAGAGAAGGUAACUGUAUCCCCUUUGUAUCUCUUUCCCGUUAGCCUCUGGUGAGCUCCCUCAGAACCCCAGACCUUUAGCCAGUUAUAACUAGACAUUUUUCUUUUUUUCGGUCAAGCAUUACGAACUCUGCUCAGAGCAGGUGACACAAAGGGCACCCUUAUUAUUUAUUUUGGAUGAGGAACUUUGGGGCAGAGACCUUACAACACAGGGAGACUCGGGAGAAUGAUGUACCCUUCCACCUACGCCAACAGGAGAAAGUAGACUAUUUGAUAACUUUUGAUUUUAACUAAAUAUUUUGGAUAACCGGAUGCUCAAGUCAGCAGUUAUCUUCACACUUAGCAUCUAAAAAGCAUCAUUACUCAAGGUUAUGGGUACCCUGGACUGCGGGGCUUUUUUCUUCCCAGAAGGAAUGAUCUGAAAUAUGAUCUGAUGAGCUUCAAAUGGUUGGAAGAGUCAUCAGAAGUGCUCUUAUUAACCAGGGGCAAAACCAUAUUGGUGUGAAUCUCGGCUGUGCUGUUCCAAUAAAUGUGCCUGGUAGGAAAUCUCAGGGUAGCCGAUGGUCAAUGGUAUUUUUUUCCAGCAUGUGUUUAUUUCCGCUCCAAGAGACUUCAUUAUAGGGAGGUACCUUCCCUUUGUUGUAUGUGUGUGUGUGUGUGCAUGAGGCCAAUGGGUCAAUCCAGCACCAAAAACCC
rnacentral:lncRNA from 1 species